CCCGCCUCUCCCUUCUAGGCACGCCUUACUGAGGGCUGCCCUUAAACAAAAUGGCGUUUUCUGCCUUUUUCAACAAAGCGCAUGCGCAAUUUAAACUGACCAAUCAGCAGCCGCGAUUUUGACAGACACUCCCCCUCAGGGCUUAAGCCCCGCCCUUCUUCCUGCUCCCCUCAGGCCGCCAUGAUGGCGGCUGCGACCCCGCGGCUGCGGCCGCUGCUGCGCGCCCUGAGGGCUCAGAGGUUUCGGGGUCCCGUGUGGUGCUGUGGAGCCCCGGCCGUGAGGGGGGUGGCGAGCGACGCAGGGCAGGUGAGGCGGGAAAAUUUGAGGGGGGUUUGAGCGAAGUUUUGGGGGUUUUGGAGGAAAUUUGAGGGAAAUUUUGGGAUUUUCGGGGGAAAAUUGAGGGGGGUUUGGGGGAAUUGUGAAGGAAAUUUGGGGUUUUGGAGGAAAUUUGAGGGAAAUUUUGCGGGUUUGGGGGGAAAAUUGAGGGAAGCUUGGGAGUUUGGGGGUAAAUAUGAGGGAAAUUUGGGGGUUGAGGGGAAAUUUAAAGGAAAUUAGGGGUGUUUUGGAGAAAUUUGGGGGUUUUGGGGGGAAAUUUAAGAGAAAUCUGAGAGUAAUGGGAGAAAUUUGGGGAUUUUAGGGAGGGAUAUGGGGGAAAUUUUGAGGUUUUGGGGGAAAUUUGGGGGUUUAUGAGGAAAUUUGAGGGAAAUUUGGGAGUUUUGGAUAGAAAAUUGAAGGAAAUUUGGGGAUUUUGGGGAGAAUUUUGAUGAAAAUUUAGGGGUUUUGGUCGAGAAUAUGAGGGAAAUCCGGGAUUUCAGGGAAAAUUUGAGGGAAAUUUGGGCAGUAUGGGGAAAAAUUCAUGGAAAAUCUGAGGGUUUUAGGUCAAAUUUGGGGGUUUUGUUUAAAAUUUGAGGCUUCGGGUAAAUUGGGGGUUUGGGGUUAAUUUUGAGGGGGUUUGUGUCAAUUUUUGCAGGUUUUGGUUAAAUUGAAGGAGUUUGGGGUCAAAUUUGGGGAUUUUUUUUGGUGACAUUUUUGGUUUUUUGGGGAUUUUGAUCAAAUUGGGAGGUUUGGGGUCAAAUUUUUGGCAUUUUGGGUCCAAUUUUAGGGGUUUUGGUUAAAUUGGGGGAGUUUAGGGUCAAGUUUUGGGGGUUUUGCUUUAAAUUUUGAUAAUUUGGUGUCAAAUUUUGGCAAUUUUUGCUCAGAUUUUAAUUUUUUUUUUCCUUNNNNNNNNNNNNNNNNNNNNCUCCCCCACCCUCACCCCCUCCCCAAACCCCAGAACCUCCAGAAUUUUUGGGAAAUUCCCCAAAUUUGGGGGAGCCCCGUUUGGAGGAGCUGGGCC
rnacentral:lncRNA from 1 species